UCGUACAACCGAGGUGCCCGGGCUGUCGCUGAUCCCUCAAAGGUCGUGCACGCCCGAGCGCUCUCGCACAAUCCAUCUCACCCCUUUGUGCAUCACCGCGUGGGUCCCCCCCUUUUUCGGGGAGGAUUCGCGUUUUCACAUAAAACUUGAUACAGUCUAGAAUGUUUAUCUUUGCGGUCACACGCAAUCAAUA
rnacentral:misc_RNA from 1 species